GAAAAUAAUGUCCUUGCUGUCCUCAAGAGGAGGGGCUGCAAAAAUGCGCAUUCGGCGCAUCCAGAACAUGCUGCUAGAGGUAUGAAUGAAUGAAAUGUAGUUUUUUUUUUUUCCAAUAGGUGAUAUUGAGUCUUAAAAGGUAGCUGUUUACAACUCAACUAUGUCAAAUUAUUGUUUAGAGCUUGAGGCACAAAUAUCAAUUAAAACUAUAAAUACUUAAUAAUAAAACAAAUUAUAGGUGAUGUGGAUCAUGAUUGGCAGAGUAAUAUGCAAGAUUUUGCAGUUUUUCUAUUUGUUACCUGGAUUUUUCAAGUUCAUGAAUUGAUCAUUUCAGAGAAAUGAUCUUUGAAAUGAUCAAUUCAUUAUUUUGAUUAUCACUGGAAAUCUAUAAUUGGUACAGUUCAGGCCAUAUAAAGUCAAUCCUUUUUUUUUUUUUUUUGGAUGUAAUUAUCAAAAACCCAUCCUCCUCGAAGAGCAGUUCGACAUUCUUUUUCUUAUUCACAGGACGAUUCUGUGGAGAGAAGGCGAGAGGUCGCUAUCCGUGGCUUAGUGGUGUAUCUCAGGGAAAAGGAGGAGGAUCUCUUCAAAGAGCAGGAUGGUGGCGGCGAUAUUACCAAUGAAGUGAUGAAGAUUGUAACCAGAGGUGCCACAACGUCUGAUCCAGCCAGCGCAAGGAUCAUACUUGAAGGAACAGAAGUCCUAGCAGACCUGGAUGUACCCAGAGCCUGUGCCUUGCU
ensembl:lncRNA